rnacentral:rRNA from 1 species
GACGAAUGCUGGCUGCGUGCUUAACACAUGCAAGUCGAACGGUGAAAGGGAGCUUGCUCCCUGGAUCAGUGGCGAACGGGUGAGUAACACGUGGGCAACCUGCCCCUCACUCUGGGAUAACUCCGGGAAACCGGGGCUAAUACCGGAUACGACCUGGUGCGACAUCGCACCGGGUGGAAAGAACUUCGGUGAGGGAUGGGCCCGCGGCCUAUCAGCUUGUUGGUGGGGUAACGGCCCACCAAGGCGACGACGGGUAGCCGGCCUGAGAGGGCGACCGGCCGCACUGGGACUGAGACACGGCCCAGACUCCUACGGGAGGCAGCAGUGGGGAAUAUUGCGCAAUGGGCGAAAGCCUGACGCAGCGACGCAGCGUGAGGGACGAAGGCCUUCGGGUUGUAAACCUCUUUCAGCGGGGACGAAGCGAAAGUGACGGUACCCGCAGAAGAAGCACCGGCUAACUACGUGCCAGCCGCCGCAGUAAAAC